ensembl:lncRNA
GAUUCAGCAGUCAGACUGGGGAGGUCCACAUUAAUUGCUCUCACUAAAUGAACCCCCCCCCCCCCCUCCUCUCCACACAGACGCCGCCGUUGCCUCUUGAUGAAAUUCUGGAGCGGGUUCCCCUUCUGCACCACCCCGUGUGUUCCUCACAGCCACAAUCCACAAUCCCGUCAUCAGUCAAGUCGCGCACUUCCUCCCUUUUCUCAACCUUCACAGCGAACCUGAACAGGACUGUUGAACAGGACGGGUGAGAGACGCCAGUGACCUGGUCCUGAGUCAGUUUGAGAUUCUACUGAGUGCAUGUGUGGUGCUGUGUGAAUGUACAACUGUCCAGAUAUGAUCUUUGGCCUUUGCUCCUUUUCGACGUUUCACUAAUUUACUUUUCAAAGGCUUGUUUGCUGCCUGACAAUGGCUGUAUAAUGCUAAAAGAUAAAGGUUUGCAGAAAUGGAUGGGGGGGGGGCAUUCAUACCCCCCUCUGCUAUCUCUACCCCCCAAACUGUGACCAUGCUGUGAUUCUGUCUCUCUCUGUGUCCUGGCUCUCUGUCGCCUUCCUCUCUCCAUCUCUCACCCUCUUUCUGUCGAUGGAUAUUUUUAUUCCCUGGCACCUUUAGUGCAGAUAGGCCACUGGGCUCCUGUCUGCUGGCGUAGCUGGUUGGGGGUUGGAGCGGGAUGAAGGAUAAGUAGAUUCAAUCAGGCGUUGCAAAUCAACUUUUCCACCAGCAUCCUGGGAAGACCUGAUAAUACAGGUUUCUAAUAUCUGACCUGUCUGGCAGAAAAAGAGAGACUGAGUGGGAGAGAGAGAGACUGAGGGGGGAGCAAAGCAAUGAGGGCGAGCGAGGGAGAGAGAGAGCACUGAUUUGAUGUGGCUAAUACCUUUGCAGUUGAUAAACGCAGUGGCGCCGGCCACGAGGAUGAAAGGAUGGAAGCAGGAGGGAAAUAAAUUGGGUUUAGGUUUUUUGUCUCCGUCCCGUCAGAGUUUGGACAUGAAUCACGGCGCUGCGACGGACGGGGCAUCGGCGCCGCUUCCCUCCACCUGUCAGCCUUCAUCCACUCCCCAAUCUGAAUACUGUCAUCACCGCCGCUCGCGAGCGGAGCUCAGACUACAAACACCAUUGUACAAGCUCAACACUGCAUUGACCCUUAUCUGAGUCCAUGUAAUACCCCGGCAAAAACUGCAAUUUCUGGUGCCAUUGUGUUGCCGGCUGAGAUGUAACUGAGCGUGUGCCUGUGUAAACGCUGCCUCCGCGGCCCAGACGGACGGGCCGGAGCUCGCGUGACAGCGCCGGCGCCGCCGCUCUGACCUUUCCUGAUGCUACCAGCUUCAGCGGCGCUAACGAGGCGGUGACGCGGCCCGACAGCCAGUGGCACGCAAUUAUUUUAGCCAGGAAAAGCACUUGUUGGUAUGCGAGCGUCUCGGUCAGCGUGUUUGUGCAGCCGGGGAGACUGGAAGCCAUUGUCAAGCUGAAAAAAGCUGUGAUUCUUCAUAAAAUCGUAUUGAACCCUUGAAGUGAAGAAUCUGCGUACGACCACUGGGUUGUGGCCUUUUUUGCCGCGAACGCACACAGGCCAAGUCGCCGUGUGUUGUUGUUGUUCACAUCAGCAUCGCAUUGUUAUCGGGGGAUUAGCUCAUAAAUAGAUAAAUUAGAUGGAUCUUGAUCUGAUUAACAUCAGUUAAUUAGCUGGAUAAGCUACUCAUGCACAACAGCAGCGCUGUUCUUUGGGAAUAUUUUCAGAUGAGGUGACUUUGAGAAUGGUCUCAGUAAAUUAAUUAAACUCUCCGCCAAUAAACGAAACUGGCAGAAGAUAAUAAGAAAUACU